GUCCACGCCCUAAACGAUGUCAACUAGUUGUCGGGACUUCAUUGUUUUGGUAACGCAGCUAACGCGAGAAGUUGACCGCCUGGGGAGUACGGUCGCAAGAUUAAAACUCAAAGGAAUUGACGGGGACCCGCACAAGCGGUGGAUGAUGUGGAUUAAUUCGAUGCAACGCGAAAACCUUACCUACCCUUGACAUGGUUCGAACCCUUAAGAGAUUAGGGGGUGCUCGCAAGAGAGCGGACACACAGGUGCUGCAUGGCUGUCGU
rnacentral:rRNA from 1 species